GACGUAGGGGGCGAGCGUUGUCCGGAUUUCUUGGGCGUAAAGCGCGCGUAGGCGGCCGCGCAAGUCGGAUGUGAAAACCCGGGGCUCAACCCCGGGCGUGCAUUCGAUACUGCGCGGCUCGAGACAGGUAGGGGAGAUCGGAAUUCCUGGUGUAGCGGUGAAAUGCGCAGAUAUCAGGAGGAACACCGGUGGCGAAGGCGGAUCUCUGGGCCUGUUCUGACGCUGAGGCGCGAAAGCUAGGGGAGCGAACAGG
rnacentral:rRNA from 1 species